GCAAGGAGCAAGUGGCGCGAUCCAGCGAUUAUCUCGAUGGCCAGUUGAGCUUUCGCGAGAAACUGAUGGUGCGUCAUCACCUGAUGUUCUGCCGCAAUUGCCGGCGGUUCAUUCGCCAGAUGCGUUUGAUGCAGGCGACGUUGCGAGCGAUGCCGCAAAAGCCUGAAGAGGGCGUGGACGCGUUGGCAGAGCAGCUGGCAGCGCUGCGGCGCAAGGACAGUCCCUGAAAACA
rnacentral:sRNA from 1 species